CCUACGGGCGGCAGCAGUGAGGAAUAUUGGUCAAUGGACGAGAGUCUGAACCAGCCAAGUCGCGUGAAGGAUGACUGCCCUAUGGGUUGUAAACUUCUUUUAUAUGGGAAUAAAAUGUUCCACGUGUGGGAUUUUGUAUGUACCAUAUGAAUAAGGAUCGGCUAACUCCGUGCCAGCAGCCGCGGUAAUACGGAGGAUCCGAGCGUUAUCCGGUUUUAUUGGGUUUAAAGGGAGCGUAGGUGGAUUGUUAAGUCAGUUGUGAAAGUUUGUGGCUCAACCGUAAAAUUGCAGUUGAAACUGGCAGUCUUGAGUACAGUAGAGGUAGGCGGAAUUCGUGGUGUAGCGGUGAAAUGCUUAGAUAUCACGAAGAACUCCGAUUGCGAAGGCAGUUCACUGGACUGCAACUGACACUGAGGCUCGAAAGUGUGGGUAUCAAACAGGAUUAGAUACCCCUGUAGUC
rnacentral:rRNA from 1 species